rnacentral:rRNA from 1 species
UACGUAGGGGGCUAGCGUUGUCCGGAAUUAUUGGGCGUAAAGAGCUUGUAGCGGUUUGUCGCGUCUGCUGUGAAAAUCCGGGGCUCAACCCCGGACUUGCAGUGGGUACGGGCAGACUAGAGUGUGGUAGGGGAGACUGGAAUUCCUGGUGUAGCGGUGAAAUGCGCAGAUAUCAGGAGGAACACCGAUGGCGAAGGCGGUUCUCUGGGCCUGUACUGACGCUGAGGAGCGAAAGCGUGGGGAGCGAACAGG